AAGUAGACCGCCUGGGGAGUACGGCCGCAAGGUUAAAACUCAAAUGAAUUGACGGGGGCCCGCACAAGCGGUGGAGCAUGUGGUUUAAUUCGAUGCAACGCGAAGAACCUUACCUGGUCUUGACAUCCACGGAAGUUUUCAGAGAUGAGAAUGUGCCUUCGGGAACCGUGAGACAGGUGCUGCAUGGCUGUCGUCAGCUCGUGUUGUGAAAUGUUGGGUUAAGUCCCGCAACGAGCGCAACCCUUAUCCUUUGUUGCCAGCGAUUAGGUCGGGAACUCAAAGGAGACUGCCAGUGAUAAACUGGAGGAAGGUGGGGAUGACGUCAAGUCAUCAUGGCCCUUACGACCAGGGCUACACACGUGCUACAAUGGCGCAUACAAAGAGAAGCGACCUCGCGAG
rnacentral:rRNA from 1 species